rnacentral:rRNA from 1 species
UACGUAGGGGGCGAGCGUUGUCCGAAGUUACUGGGCGUAAAGCGUACGUAGGUGGAUAUUUAAGUUACAUCUUAAAGGUGACAGCUCAACUGUCAGAAGUGGUGUAAUACUGGAUAUCUUGAGGCAAGCAGAAGAAUGUGGAACUCCGAGUGUAGCGGUGGAAUGCGUAGAGAUUCGGAAGAACACCCAUGGCGAAGGCAGCAUUCUGGGCUUGACCUGACACUGAGGUACGAAAGCCAGGGGGAGCGAACGGGG